rnacentral:rRNA from 1 species
GAUGAACGCUAGCGGCAGGCUUAAUACAUGCAAGUCGAGGGGCAGCGGGGGUAGCAAUACCUGCCGGCGACCGGCAAACGGGUGCGGAACACGUACAGAACCUCCCUCCAAGUGGUGAAUAGCCUUCCGAAAGGAAGAUUAAUACACCGUAAUAUUACAGAGUGGCAUCACUUUAUAAUUAUAGAUUUAUCGCUUAGAGAUGGCUGUGCGGCUGAUUAGGUAGUUGGCGGGGUAAUAGCCCACCAAGCCUGCGAUCAGUAACUGGUGUGAGAGCACGACCAGUCACACGGGCACUGAGACACGGGCCCGACUCCUACGGGAGGCAGCAGUAAGGAAUAUUGGGCAAUGGACGAGAGUCUGACCCAGCCAU